UAGGGAAUCUUCCGCAAUGGACGCAAGUCUGACGGAGCAACGCCGCGUGAGUGAAGAAGGAUUUCGGUUCGUAAAACUCUGUUGUUAGAGAAGAACAGCGCAUAGAGUAACUGUUAUGCGUGUGACGGUAUCUAACCAGAAAGCCACGGCUAACUACGUGCCAGCAGCCGCGGUAAUACGUAGGUGGCAAGCGUUGUCCGGAUUUAUUGGGCGUAAAGCGAGCGCAGGCGGUCAAUUAAGUCUGAUGUGAAAGCCCCCGGCUCAACCGGGGAGGGUCAUUGGAAACUGGUUGACUUGAGUGCAAAAGAGGAGAGUGGAAUUCCAUGUGUAGCGGUGAAAUGCGUAGAUAUAUGGAGGAACACCAGUGGCGAAGGCGACUCUCUGGUCUGUAACUGACGCUGAGGCUCGAAAGCGUGGGUAGCAAACAGG
rnacentral:rRNA from 1 species